CUUCCUGUGGGAGCCAGCUGUGUGGCUUUGUCUCACUAGCCAGCAGCCUAUGCCACCCCCUGUCAAGAAAAUGCAACAAGUAAGUGCUCUGACUCAAGGCCAGCCUGGUUACACAGUGUGGACUCCCUGCCCCAGAGAGAUGAACAGGCUGGUGGACGAUCGGUGCGUGGUGGAGCCGGCAGCUGGCGAUCUGGAUAAUCCACCCAAGAAGUUCCGGGACUGUCUCUUCAAAGUAUGUCCCAUGAACCGCUACUCCGCCCAGAAGCAAUACUGGAAGGCCAAGCAAACCAAGCAGGACAAGGACAAGAUUGCUGACGUGGUGCUGCUGCAGAAACUCCAGCAUGCGGCGCAGAUGGAGCAGAAGCAGAACGAUACGGAGAAUAAGAAGGUGCACGGGGACGUGGUGAAGUACGGCAGCGUCAUCCAGCUUCUCCACAUGAAGAGUAACAAGUACCUGACGGUGAACAAACGUCUCCCCGCCCUGCUGGAGAAGAACGCCAUGAGGGUGACACUGGAUGCUACGGGCAACGAGGGCUCCUGGCUCUUCAUCCAGCCCUUUUGGAAACUGAGGAGCAAUGGAGAUAAUGUAGUCGUGGGAGACAAAGUGAUCCUGAACCCUGUGAAUGCCGGGCAGCCACUGCAUGCCAGCAACUACGAGCUCGCCGACAAUGCCGGCUGCAAAGAGGUGAACUCGGUCAAUUGCAACACCAGCUGGAAAAUCAACCUGUUCAUGCAGUUCCGGGACCACAUGGAGGAAGUGCUGAAAGGGGGGGAUGUGGUGAGGCUGUUCCAUGCCGAGCAAGAGAAGUUUCUCACCUGCGACGAGUACAAGGCCAAAAUCCACGUCUUCCUCCGCACCACCCUGAGGCAGUCUGCCACGUCCGCCACCAGCUCCAAUGCACUAUGGGAAGUCGAGGUGGUCCAUCACGAUCCCUGCCGAGGUGGAGCCGGGCACUGGAACGGCCUAUACCGCUUCAAGCAUCUCGCCACUGGGAACUAUCUGGCUGCGGAGGAAAACCCAAGUUACAAAGGAGAUGCCGCCGAUCCUAAGGCUGGACCCACGGGCGGGACUAUUCGCUCCAGCCGGAGGAAAACGGGGGAGAAGAUCAAAUACCGGCUGGUGGCCGUGCCCCAUGGGAAUGAUAUCGCCUCCCUCUUUGAGUUGGACCCCACCACGCUGCAGAAGACGGAUUCCUUCGUCCCUCGGAAUUCCUACGUGAGGCUGCGCCACCUCUGUACGAACACUUGGAUCCAGAGCACUGACGUGCCCAUUGACAUCGAUGAAGAGAGACCGAUUCGUCUCAUGCUCGGAACCUGCCCCACCAAGGAGGACAAAGAAGCUUUUGCCAUUGUCUCUGUGCCAGUGUCAGAAAUCCGGGACCUGGAUUUUGCCAAUGAUGCCAGCUCCAUGCUGGCCAACGUGGUGGAGAAGAUGAACGAGGGCUUCAUCAGCCAGAAUGACCGCAGGUUUGUGAUCCAGCUGCUAGAGGACCUGGUGUUUUUCGUCAGCGACGUUCCCAACAACGGGCAGAAUGUGUUGGACAUCAUGGUGACCAAACCCAACCGGGAGAGGCAGAAACUCAUGCGGGAGCAGAACAUCCUGAAACAGAUCUUUGGGAUCCUGAAAGCUCCAUUCAAGGAAAAAGGAGGGGAAGGCCCCCUGGUGCGGCUGGAGGAGCUGUCGGAUCAGAAGAACGCUCCCUAUCAGUACAUGUUCCGCCUCUGCUACCGGGUGCUGCGGCACUCCCAGGAGGACUAUCGCAAGAACCAGGAACAUAUCGCCAAGCAGUUCGGCAUGAUGCAGUCCCAGAUUGGCUACGACAUCCUGGCAGAGGACACCAUCACCGCCCUCCUGCACAACAACCGCAAGCUGCUGGAGAAGCACAUCACCAAGACCGAGGUGGAGACCUUCGUCAGCCUGGUGCGCAAGAACCGGGAACCCAGGUUUUUAGAUUACCUCUCGGACCUGUGUGUGUCCAACCACAUCGCCAUCCCCGUCACCCAGGAGCUGAUCUGCAAGUGUGUGCUGGACCCCAAGAACAGCGACAUCCUGAUUAAAACAGAGCUGAGGCCAGUGAAGGAGAUGUCCCAGACCCACGAAUACCUGAGCAUUGAGUACUCCGAGGAGGAGGUCUGGCUGACCUGGAGUGACAAGAACAAUGACUGCCACGAGAAAAGCAUCCGGCAGCUGGCGCAGGAGGCGCGGGCGGGCAACGCUCAUGAUGAGAACGUCCUGAGUUACUACAGGUAUCAGCUGAAGCUGUUUGCUCGCAUGUGCCUGGACCGCCAGUACCUGGCGAUCAAAGAGAUCUCCAAGCAGCUGGGGGUGGAUCUCAUCUUCCUCUGCAUGGCGGACGAGAUGCUGCCCUUUGACCUCCGGGCCUCCUUCUGCCACCUCAUGCUGCACGUGCAUGUGGACCGGGACCCCCAGGAGCUGGUGAUGCCUGUGAAGUUUGCACGGCUGUGGACGGAGAUCCCCACCGCCAUCACCAUCAAAGACUACGACUCCAACCUGAAUGACUCCCGGGACGACAAGAAGAACAAGUUUGCCAGCACCAUGGAGUUCGUGGAGGAUUAUCUCAACAACGUGGUGAGCGAGGCGGUGCCCUUCGCCAACGAGGAGAAGAACAAGCUCACCUUUGAGGUGGUCAGUCUCGCCCACAACCUCAUCUACUUUGGCUUCUACAGCUUCAGUGAGCUGCUGCGCCUGACGCGGACUCUGCUGGGUAUCAUAGACUGUGUCCAGAAUCCUCAGCUCAUGAUGCAGACCAUGUACAAUGAGGAUAUGGCGGGGAAGAACGUGCGGAAGUCCAUCCAGGGUGUUGGCCAGAUGAUGUCCACCAUGGUCCUGAGCCGGAAGCAGUCCAUCUUCAGUGGCCCAAGCCUCGGCACCGUGGCGGCCUCUGAGCCCACGGACCGGGAGAGGACCAUAGAGAACGAAAACAUCGUUGUGAUGGAGACCAAGCUGAAGAUCUUGGAGAUCUUGAAGUUCAUCCUGAACGUGCGGCUAGACUACAGGAUCUCCUACCUGCUCUCCGUCUUCAAGAAGGAGUUCAUAGAAGUCUACCCCAUGCAGGACAGCAGCGCCGAUGGGACAGCUCCAGCCUUCGACUCCACAAAUGCAGCGAUGAACCUGGAGAGAAUAGGCGAGCUGGCAGAGGCCAUGUUUGGGGUCGGGAAGUCGAGCAGCAUGUUAGAGGUGGAUGAUGAAGGAGGGAGGAUGUUUCUCCGUGUGCUGAUCCACCUGACGAUGCACAACUAUCCCCCGCUUGUCUCUGGCUCCCUCCAGCUCCUCUUCAAACACUUUAGCCAGAGGCAGGAGGUGCUGCACACCUUUAAACAGGUCCAGCUCCUGAUCUCGGCUCAGGAUGUUGAGAACUACAAGGUGAUAAAGUCUGAGCUCGACAAGCUGCGCAUGAUGGUGGAGAAAUCUGAACUCUGGGUGGACAAGAAGGGCAGCCCCAAGGGGGAGGACGCAGGGGAGGAGCCCAAGAAGGAGAAGAAAGAGCACACUGCAGAUGAGGAGGUCAGUACCCCUGAAGAGAAGAGCAGCGAGAAUUACAAGAUAGUCAAAGGGAUCCUGGAGCGGCUCAAUAAAAUGUGCGGGGUGGGUGAGCAGGUGCGCAAGAAGCAGCAACGCCUGAUGAAGAACAUGGAUGCCCACAAAGUGAUGCUGGAUCUGCUGCAGAUCCCCUACGAGAAGGGUGAUGCAAAGAUGCUGGAGAUUCUGAAAUACACCCACCAGUUCCUACAGAAGUUCUGCGCUGGGAACCAAGGAAACCAGGCCCUUCUGCACAAACAUCUCAACUUGUUCCUCACCCCUGGGCUCCUGGAGGCCGAGACGAUGCAGCACAUCUUCCUGAACAACUACCAGCUGUGCUCGGAGAUUAACGAGACGGUGCUGCAGCACUUCGUCCACUGCCUGGCCACGCACGGCCGCCACGUGCAGUACCUCGACUUCCUGCACAGCAUCAUCAAGGCGGAGGGCAAGUACGUCAAGAAGUGCCAGGACAUGAUCAUGACGGAGCUCACCAAUGCUGGGGACGACGUGGUGGUCUUCUACAAUGACAAGGCGUCGCUGGCCACCAUGCUGGAGAUGAUGACAGCGGCCCGGGAAGGGGUGGAGGAGAACAGCCCCCUCAUGUACCACAUCUCCUUGGUGGACCUGCUGGCCGCCUGUGCCGAGGGCAAGAACGUCUACACGGAGAUCAAGUGCACGUCCCUGCUGCCGCUGGAGGACAUUGUGCGGGUGGUGACGCACGAGGACUGCAUCACCGAGGUGAAGAUGGCCUAUGUGAACUUCGUCAACCACUGCUACGUGGACACCGAGGUGGAAAUGAAGGAGAUCUACACCAGCAACCACAUCUGGACUCUCUUUGAGAACUUCACCCUCGACAUGGCCACGAUGUGUAAGAAGCGAGAGAAGCGUCUGACGGACCCCGCCCUGGAGAAGUACGUGCUCACAGUGGUGCUGGACACCAUCAAUGCCUUCUUCAGCUCCCCCUUCUCGGAGAACAGCACUUCCUUGCAGACCCACCAGACUAUUGUCGUGCAGCUCCUCCAGUCCACCAUGAGGCUCCUGGAGUGCCCCUGGCUACAGCAGCACCACAAGACUUCGGUGGAGGCCUGUAUCCGUACCCUGGCCAUGGUUGCCAAGAGCCGCUCCAUCGCGCUGCCCAUGGACCUCGAUGCCCACGUCAGCUCCCUGCUGAACAGCAGCUCCACCAGCACCUUGCAGCGGAGCGCUUCCAGCUACAAGACAGCCACGCGGACCUUCCCCCGCGGCUUGGCCCCGCCCAACCAGUGGGACUACAAAAACAUCAUUGAGAAGCUGCAGGACAUCAUCAACGCCCUGGAGGAACGGUUCAAACCCCUGGUGGAAGCUGAAGUGUCUGUCCUGGUGGAUGUUCUGCACCGCCCAGAGCUGCUCUUUAUGGAGGGGACCGAUGCCUACCAGCGCUGCGAGAGCGGGGGCUUCCUGUCCAAGCUGGUCCAGCACACUAAGGACCUGAUGGAGAGCGAGGAGAAGCUGUGCAUCCGAGUCCUGAGGACGCUGCAGCAGAUGCUCAUGAAGAGGAACAAAUAUGGGGACAGGGGAAACACGCUGAGAAAAAUGCUCGUGAGUAACUACCUGCAGAACAAGAAGUCGAGUUCCAAAGGGGAGAUCGUCGACACGACUGGGGGUGGCCAAGACCAGGACUGGUCAGUCAUUGCUGCCAUCCAGUGCCGGCUGGACAGAGAAGGGGCCACCAAGCUGGUGUCGGACCUUAUCAUGAACACCAAAAACGAGAAGAUUUUCCAGGAGAGCAUCCUCUUAGCCAUCCGGCUGCUGGACGGAGGCAACACAGAGAUACAGAAAUCGUUUUAUAACCUGAUGACGAGCGACAAGAAGUGUGAGAAGUUCUUCAAAGUGUUGCAUGAUCGCAUGAAGAAGGCGCAGCAGGAGACCAAGUCCAUCGUGUCGGUGAACAUGAGUGACAUUGGGAACAAGCCCCGGGAGGACAAAGACAUCCCUGACCCUGGCACCAAGGGACGAGGAACCUUCAUGCUGUCCUACGCCCCAUCUCGGCAUCCCAUGGCCAUUGGGUUUCGAAAGGGCCAUGACACUGGGGAGCGAAGCCAGAGCAAUGAGAUGGGGAUGUCGAUCUUGAUCAUGGAGCCUAUUCUUCGGUUCCUGCAGUUGCUCUGCGAAAACCACAACCGGGACCUCCAGAACUUCCUCCGGUGUCAGAACAAUAAGACCAACUACAACCUGGUGUGUGAGACGCUGCAGUUCCUGGACAUCAUGUGCGGCAGCACCACGGGGGGGCUGGGCCUGCUGGGCCUCUACAUCAAUGAAUACAACGUGGCCCUUAUCACGCAGACCCUGGAGACUUUGACGGAAUAUUGCCAGGGACCCUGCCAUGAGAACCAGAGCUGCAUUGUGACGCACGAAUCUAAUGGCAUUGACAUCAUCACGGCCCUGAUCCUGAAUGAGAUCAGCCCCCUCUGCAAGUACAGAAUGGACCUUGUCCUCCAGCUGAAGGACAAUGCCUCCAAACUCCUGCUGGCCCUGAUGGAGAGCAGACACGACAGUGAGAAUGCCGAGCGGAUCCUCAUCAGCCUCCGGCCUCAGGAACUGGUUGAUGUCAUUAAAAAAGCCUAUCUCCAGGAGGAAGAGUGCGAGAACGCCGAGGUUUCCCCCCGGGAAGUCGGGCACAACAUCUAUAUCUUGGCCUUACAGCUGUCUCGGCACAACAAGCAACUGCAGCAUCUCCUGAAGCCAGUGAAGCGAAUCCAGGAGGAGGAAGAGGAGGGCAUCUCCUCUAUGCUCAGUUUAAACAAUAAGCAGCUGACUCAGAUGCUGAAAUCGACGGCUCCCGUCCAGGAGGAAGAAGAGGACCCGCUGGCGUAUUACGAGAAGCACACCUCCCAGAUUGAGAUUGUGCGUCUGGACCGGAGCAUGGAGCAGAUCAUCUUCCCAGUGCCCAGCAUCUGCGAAUUCGUCACCAGGGAGACCAAGUACCGGCUAUUCACCACCACGGAACAAGACGAGCAGGGCAGCAAAGUCAGCGACUUCUUCGACCAGUCGUCCUUCCUCCACAACGAGAUGGAAUGGCAGAAGAAACUGCGCAGCAUGCCGCUGAUGUACUGGUUCUCCCGCAGAAUGACUCUCUGGGGAAGCAUUUCCUUCAACCUGGCUGUCUUCAUCAACAUCAUCAUUGCUUUCUUCUACCCCUAUGUCGAAGCCACCUCUAUGGGAGUGUUGGAUUCCCCACUGAUCUCCCUGCUCUUCUGGUUUCUAAUCUGCUUCUCCGUCAUGGCCCUAUUUACCCGGCGCUACGGCGUCAGACCGCUCCUCGUGGCGUUGAUCCUGCGAUCGAUCUAUUACUUAGGGAUUGGGCUCACGCUGAACAUCCUGGGAGCUCUCAAUCUGACCAACAAGAUUGUGUUCGUGGUGAGCUUCGUGGGCAACCGUGGGACAUUUAUCCGGGGCUACAAAGCCAUGAUCAUGGAUAUGGAGUUUCUCUACCACGUGGCCUACAUUGUGACCAGCAUUCUGGGGCUCUUUGUACACGAACUCUUCUACAGCAUCUUGCUCUUUGACUUGAUCUACCGUGAGGAGACCUUGUUCAACGUCAUCAAAAGCGUGACGCGGAACGGGCGCUCCAUCCUGCUGACCGCCCUCCUGGCUCUCAUCCUCGUCUACCUCUUCUCCAUCGUGGGUUUCCUCUUCCUGAAAGACGACUUCAUCAUGGAGGUGGAUCGGCUGCCUGACAACAAGUCCAAAGACGGCCCCUUGGGGAUGCAAAGGAACAUGGAGGCUUUUAUGGAGUCGUGCAGUGGUGACAAAAUUAGCUGCUCUGCAGUGCCUGAUGUGCUGAGAGACGAUGAGGAGGAUAACUCAGAGCGUGCCUGUGACACGCUGCUCAUGUGCAUUGUCACUGUCCUGAAUCACGGCCUGAGGAACGGAGGGGGCGUGGGUGACAUUCUCAGGAAGCCAUCCAAGGAUGAGUCCUUGUUCCCUGCUCGGGUUAUCUAUGACCUCCUCUUCUUCUUCAUUGUCAUCAUCAUUGUCCUCAACCUUAUCUUUGGUGUCAUCAUAGACACCUUUGCUGAUCUGAGGAGUGAGAAGCAAAAGAAGGAAGAAAUUCUUAAGACCACGUGUUUCAUAUGUGGUCUCGAAAGGGACAAGUUUGAUAAUAAGACUGUGUCCUUCGAAGAGCACAUUAAAAUUGAGCACAACAUGUGGAACUACUUGUACUUCAUCGUGCUGGUGCGAGUGAAGGAUAAGACUGACUACACAGGGCCUGAGAGUUACGUGGCACAAAUGAUUAAGAACAAGAACCUGGACUGGUUCCCUCGGAUGCGAGCCAUGUCGUUGGUCAGCAACGAAGGGGAAGGGGAACAGAAUGAGAUCCGGAGUCUUCAAGACAAGCUCAACUCCACUAUGAAGCUGGUGUCUCACCUCACUUCACAGCUGAAUGAGCUGAAAGAGCAGAUGACAGAGCAAAGGAAGCGCAGACAGCGGAUCGGUUUUGUGGAUGCCCAGAACACAUUGAAUCACUGAGGCACACAGAAAGGAUCAGCUUCGCCAACUGACUAAAUACAUGUUAUCAGCUAGGCUGUAUUCACUGGAGUCUGCACAUAGAUCACAUCUUCAGAAGCUGGACCAAAGCCUAGAAGGUUACAGCUGUAAGGUUUCAACACCAGCCUUUUCCUUCUCCAUUACAUCUCCGCAAACAUUUUGCCCAGCAGCAGACAGGAACCACUAACUUACCAGAUUUCCUCACUGUACCUGGACCCACAAUUUUAUCCUAAUGCCCUCAAAGGAAGGUAUUGCUUGCAAGAAGUGCCACACCAAGACCCUGCGGAGUGAAAUUCUGUGUAUCCCUUGGACCAGGUAACAGCAGUGCAAGCUACUCCUGUAAGCCUGAGUGGGGGAAGAGUAAUCACAGACUAAUCAAACAGAACCUGGUUACCUGUUGCUAGGAUCAGCUUGCAUUCUUCCACUGUCACUCCAGUGAAGCUCGUAUCUUUCAGGCGUGGAUACUUCCCCAACAAAACAAAAAAAGAAUUUACUGACUCAACAGCACCUUUUCUCUGCUCCCUCCUCAAGCCAGUGCUUUGCUUAUGCUUAGCUUAUCCAUCUGCUAAGUCCUAAGCACAACAUUCCUGUUGAAAUACUAGCAGUGGAAAGAGUCACAGUGCCACCUGGUGGUCUUUAGGCUCAUCUCCAGCAAAGCUCAAACACAAAUCAGUUUAGACAAGGUGAGAGCUGCUUCUGAAAUGACUGAACUUUUCAAAGGCUUGUGCUGCUCAAAAUGAGUUCAGCUUUGUUUUUCACAGCGAAGGUGCCAGUCAGCCCCAUAGACAGCUUGUUAUUAAUACUUCUAUUAUAGCAGCCCUCAAAAGCCCCUAUCCGAUUUGUGGCCCCAGGGUGCUGUACAGACACAUGGUCCCUGGCCUGAAAAGCUCACCUUGUUUUUAUAGAAAUUGGUGUGGAUUCUGACUAAACUCUCAUACAUUUGGUCACAGUUUGCAGGGUCAGCAAUCUGAAAAGGAACAUAAACAUUAUGAAACUGUACUUUUAACCUGCACAACAAAUGCUUCUCCUUGUAAGUAACAGGCCACAUGCAAAAUGAGAAGAGGAGCACCUUAACAAUGGAACAGAAGUGGCAGUAUCCUGUAAAACUGCUACAUGUACAAGGAUUAAAACUAUGUUCUCACUCCUCCUGCUGCCUGCCGGCUGGUCCUACACAGGCACACAACAAAGCGUGCAACCCUCUAGUCAAAAUGAUAAAACUCUGCUCAUAAGGAUUUGCUGGAUCAAAUGUGAACAAAUAUUCAAUGGUAAAGAAAUAGAGCUGGUCAGUUUUCUCCUCAUGCCCAUCCGCCACUACUGUAAUGUGCAAUAAAGGCUCCGUCACUCAAAUAGUCCACCAGCCAGAUUUAAAAAGGUGUCUUAUUAAUGAGUUAGGGUAAUCUGUCCAUAAGAAAAAUUUCAUUGCUAUCACAUGGUAGGUACAUAUCUGGUGGUCAUCACCUGGGUGAAUGUAGGUGCUGCAAAUGGUGCCAUUUUUCUGUAUCACAUUGUGUUUAAACAUUAUCGGUCAUCCAAUGAUAAAAAUCACAAAAAGGGUCAUAACUUGAAAAAGCAUACGCUAAUUUUGACCAAAAUUGGCAGAAGACUUCUACAUACAAUUGCUAAUGCAAAAUGUCCUCAGAGCACUGUGAUGGAACGCUUGGGAACGAUUUAGCUCCAAGUGAUAUAUUUUUGUCCUUUUUUUGCCAUUGGUUAAAGCAAAAGUCUGUAGUCACAUGCCAUCUUGUCAUUAUUUACAGAAUGGACUGAUUUGUGAAUAGUUUUGCUGUCUGCUAUUUUUAUGAUGUUAUGCAGAUAAUAAGACCCCUGGUGCCUAAUUAUAAAACAUUUUUUAUGUUAACUGCUUGGCCAAAGUCUCAAACACACAUGGUACUUUAUUCAGCUACUCCUUGUUUCCUCAUUAACUCUCUGGUUAGGUCAGGUCUGUGCAUCCCAUGAAUUCAAAGUAAUGGUCAUAAAUUUAUAAAGCCAUCAACAACCAGAGACAUCCUAGCCUGUCAGAUCAUCUUUGAUAUGUGACCAAGGCUAAGUGUUUCACCUUUGAAAACUGCUCACACGCUAGGUAAUGGGAGCAGGCUUAUAAAUAACAGCAUGCAGUUAGGUUACUGACUCACCACAGCUGAUAGUCCGCUCUUGUUAUUGGGCUGUGCUCAAAUCAGCUCUUUUGUACAAAGCUAGCAGGGAAAGUCAGCAGUGUUCACAUAGGCCAUAUCUUACCAGCCUUCCCAUGAUCUGACCAACACAUAGUCCCAAACCCAAUAAGCUGAGCAUUAUUAGACUUCCCCAGUGCUUCUGUAAAGGGGUGCUGCUGUGAGCAAGCAAAGGAAUGCCAACAGGCACAAGAAACCACAGAGGCUGCAGUAACAUUUCUGUUUAAAGGUAAACUCU